rnacentral:rRNA from 1 species
AGGUUAGUGACGCAUAUUGCACGUCGUGGGAACCUACCAUGAUGUACACAUACCUGAGUGCUU